rnacentral:rRNA from 1 species
CUUAAAAGGACUAUCUAUGUCAAGUACAUGGAAGUUUGAGGCAAUAACAGGUCUGUGAUGCCCUUAGACGUUCUGGGCCGCACGCGCGCUACACUGACGGAGCCAGCGAGUCUACCUUGG